rnacentral:lncRNA from 1 species
CCCUCCACCCCAGCCAUACCUCAACCCUAAUGCCUUCAGCAACAACCCCAUGAUAUGCCUUCUCCACCAUCAACAUGCCUCUUCCACCCUUCUCAAAUAAAACUAGCACAGCUUACCCAGUCUCGGACUGAAGGUCAUUGAAUCAAAGAUUCAAUUGCCAGCAAUCCUCGAUUUGGCGCGUAUGUUCAAUGAUGCAUAAAUGGACACACUAGACAAUAGGGAUGUUCCUCAGUAAAGGAUCAGAUAGAAAAUUACUAUCAAACUAACCCAAAUUAGGUCAUCCUGUAGGCUUGUCCAAACAAGAAAGGCUAAAUAGGAACCAGCAUCCAAUUGAAUCCAUGACACACUGCAACCAGCUUAACACAACACAUAAUUCACCCUGUGCACAAAUCUAACUAAAAUUUAGUAAUACUAUCACAAACUAAAAUAAUGAAAAAUAAAAUUCCUUCUAAAUCCCAAUCUGAUACCUUUUUUUGUCUCAUUUCACUCCCCAAGAAAUCUUAGUCUAGGCUAGAGAAAGUAAGUGGGGGAAGGAAGGUAACAACUCAUUCAUACACAUGCCCAACCAUCUUAAACAGCUUGUUUAUAUUUGACACUGAUUGGAAAUAUUUUGCAUUAAUCUUUUCUUUUUCCUUGACUUUUCUACUGAGAAUUGAAGACCAGAUCCACGGUAGAGCACAACAAUGAUUAAAAA